rnacentral:lncRNA from 10 species
GCCCUAUGUAAAUUAGACAACACCUCCUCAAGCCAGUCUAUAAACCCUCCCCUCCCCGCACAUGCAUUUCACCGCAAAACCCAAAGACCCACUUAGGUGUCCCCUCUCUCCGCAGAAGAGAGAGCUUUUCCCUUUCUCUCUGUUAAACCUCUUCUCUUAAACUCACUUCUUGCGUGUCCUCGUCCUCGAUUUCCUUGGCGUAAGACGACGAACCUCAGGCAUUUACCCCAGACAACGAAGGUGCUUCAUAAGGUCAUGCAGCUGGUUGGCUUCAUCCUUAGGCUGCCUCUACAGUGGAAACAAGAUGGUGGCUACAUAUUCAGAAGAAGAGUGACAUCUUCUCUUCCACGCACCCCCUUGAAGCUCAUUGGCUCUAACUGAUCAGUUGCUCUGGGGGAAGCCAGCUGUCAUGUGACAAACAGCUCUCCACAGAGGAUUAUGGGGCAUGUAACUGAGGCCUCCAGCCAGCGGCCACGUCAGUGAGUUUGGAAAUAGGUCCUCUAGCCCAGUUGAGCCUUCAGAAGACGACAUGAGGAUUUGCUGCAGUUCUGCCCAACAUCUUGAUUUCAAGCUCAUGAGACAGCCUAAGCCCAAACCACCCAGCUAAGCCAUUCCUAGAUUCCUGACCCAAAGAAACUAUGUGAGAUUAUGUGUCUGGUAUUUUAAGCACUAAGUUCUGGGAUAAUUUGUUUUGAAGCAAUAGUUAAGAAAUACAAUGAGAUAACACUAAACGCAAUGAGAGAGCACUAAACACUAUACUUGGUGUAGAUAAGGUCAUGGAGCCACAGGAAUGCUCAUUUUGUGCUAGUGGAAAAGGAAAUUGGAAAAACCAUUUUGCAAUGUAUAACCAGGUGGCAAUAUCUACAGUUUUAAAGCUAUGCCUAUUAUAUGAUCUCACAGUUCCACUUCUAGGUAUAUAGUGCAUGAUCCUGUGCACAGGAGACAUGCACAUGAAUAUUCAUAGCAGGAAUGUUUGUAGUAGCCUCAAAUUGGAAACCAUCCACAUAUCCAUCAGUAAUGGAAUGGAUAAAUAAGUUUUGGUAGCAGUUGAGCCUUGAACAACACGAGUUUAAACUAUGUGGGUCCACUUAAUAUGCACAUUUUCUGGGUCCACUUAUAUGCAGAUUUUCUUCUACCUCUGCUACCCCUGAGAUGGUAAGACCAUCUUCCUUGAUCCACUUCCACAGUAAAUACAUUUUCUCUUUCUUAUGAUUUUCUUAAUAUCAUUUUCUUUUCCCUAAGCUUACUUGAUUGUAAGUGUACAGUAUGUGAUAAAAAUAACAUGCAAAAUAUGUGUUAAUCAACUGUUAAUGAUCAGUUAAUACUUCUGGUGAACAGUAGGCUGUAAGUAGUUAAGUUUUGGGGAAGUCAAAAGCAUAUGCAGAUAUUUGACUGUGUGGGGUGUUGGUAUCCCUAACCUCGUGCAUUGUUCAAGGGUCAAUUGUAUUUGUACAAUAAAAUGUUAUACAGCAAGGGUUGGAAGAUUUGUUCUGUUAAGGGCCAGAGAGUCAAUAUUUUAGGCUUUAAGGGCUGUACAGUCUCUGUCAUACCUAGUCAACUCUGCUGUUGUAGUAUGUAAGCAGCCACAGAGAAUAGGGAAAUGAAUAAGCAUGGCUAUAUUUCAAUUAUACUUUAUUUACAAAACAGAUGGGGAACUGGAUUUGGCACAGGGGCCACAGUUUUCUGACCAUUACUCUAUAAUAUUGAGAGUAAAAGGGGCCAGGUGCAGUGGCUCACAUCUGUGAUCCCAGCACUUUGGGAGGCUGAGGCAGGAGGAUUGCUUGAGGCCAGUAGAUCAAGACCAGUCUGGGCAACAUGGCGAGACCCCAUGAUAUGGUUUGGAUGUGUGUCCCUCCUCAAAUCUCAUGUCAAAUUGUAAUUCCCAGUGUUGGAGGAGAGGCCUGGUGGGAGGUGAUUGGAUCAUGGGGACAGGCUUUCCCCUUGCUGUUCUUGUGAUAGUGAGUUCUCAUGAGAUCUGGUUGUUUAAAAGUGUGUGGCACCUCCCCCUUCUCUCUCUUCUUCCUGCUCUGGCCACAUAAGACAAGCCUACUUCCACUUCACCUUCUGUCAUGAUUGUAAGUUUCCUGAGGCUUCCCCCACCAUGCUUCCUGUAGAGCCUACAGAACCAUGAGCCAAUAAACCUCUUUUCUUUAUAAAUUACCCAGUCUCAGGUAUUUCUUCAUAGCAGUGUGAGAAUGGACUAAUAUACCCCAUCUCUACAAAAAAAUUUAAAAAAUUAGCCAGGUGUGGUGGUGUGUGCUUGUGGUCCCAGCUACUUGGGAGGCUGAGAUGGGAGGAUCUUUUUAGCCCAGGAUGUGGAGGCUGCAGUGAGCCAUGCUCAGGAUUUUAGUCUGUUCUCACGCUGCUAAUAAAGACAUACCUGAGACUGGGUAAUUUAUAAAGGAAAGAGGUUUGAUGGACUCACAGUUCCACGUGGCUGAGGAGGCCUCACAAUUAUGGUAGAAGGUGAAGGAGGAGCAAAAUCAUGUCUUACAGGGCGGCAGGCAAGAGAGCAUGUGCCAGGAAACUGCCCUUUAUAAAACCAUCAGAUCUCACGAGACUUAUGCACUAUCAUGAGAACAGCACGAGAAAGAUCUGCCUCCAUGAUUCAAUUACCUCCCACAGCGUCCCUCCCAUGACACACGGGAAUUAUGAGAGUUACAAUUCAAGAUGAGAUUUGGGUGGGGACACAGCCAAACCAUAUCACUCAGGUUGGGUGACAGAGCAAGGCCCUGUCUCAAAAAAAUAAACAAGUAAAAUAAUAAAAAAAGAGAGAAUGAAAGAGCCCAGGUACAAACAAGAACAUAGAUAAGUCUUUGAAAAGUAUUGAAUGAAAGAAAUCGGACAUAAAAUAUGUACUCCUAUUUAUAAAAAGUUCAAAAGCAUGAAAAAUGAGACGAUAUUGUUGAGGGAGCAUCUUGAGGAGGUGAAACUAGAAGGCAAAACAAGGAAUUGAGUCUUUAAAAUGCCAGGAUUGUUGUUACUUUGGAGGGUAGAUAGGGGUGUGUAAUUGAGAAGGGGUACCUAAGGGACUCAUGGGGUGCUGGCAAUAACCUUAUUUAUUAAUCUGUUGGGGGUUUCACAGGUGUUUAUACAAUCUGGUAAGUUGUAUAUUUGUGUUUUGUGUUCUUUUCUGUAUUUGCAUUCUAUUUCUCAAUAAAUUGUUGAAGAAAAAUGAAUAUUAAGA